AUUGAACGCUGGCGGCAGGCCUAACACAUGCAAGUCGAGCGGAUGAAGGGAGCUUGCUCCUGGAUUCAGCGGCGGACGGGUGAGUAAUGCCUAGGAAUCUGCCUGGCAGUGGGGGAUAACGUCCGGACACGGGCGCUAAUACCGCAUCCGUCCUGAGGGAGAAAGUGGGGGAUCUUCGGACCUCACGCUAUCAGAUGAGCCUAGGUCGGAUUAGCUAGUUGGUGGGGUAAAGGCCUACCAAGGCGACGAUCCGUAACUGGUCUGAGAGGAUGAUCAGUCACACUGGAACUGAGACACGGUCCAGACUCCUACGGGAGGCAGCAGUGGGGAAUAUUGGACAAUGGGCGAAAGCCUGAUCCAGCCAUGCCGCGUGUGUGAAGAAGGUCUUCGGAUUGUAAAGCACUUUAAGUUGGGAGGAAGGGCAGUAAGUUAAUACCUUGCUGUUUUGACGUUACCAACAGAAUAAGCACCGGCUAACUUCGUG
rnacentral:rRNA from 1 species